rnacentral:lncRNA from 1 species
CACCUGGCAAUUGGCAUCUCCCAGGCAAGGCUCUCAGGUCUCACGGUGUGGAGGUCAGGGGAGGCAUGCUGCUACAGCUGAUAGCUCUGGGCUCUGCACAGGACAUACACAUCGUCUAAGAGCACAAGGUCAGUGUCAAGGUGAGGCUAGAACCCAGGAGUCCCGAUACCCCCUCCCUGGAAAAGUGAACAGAGGUAAUUUGGAGCUGAGCUGAGGGCAUUGCCUCAGUACACCCUGAUUAAACCGCUGCUCCUCCUGGGGCUGUGUCAGCCUUUAGGAAGCCUUUAUAGUCCUUGGCACUUGCCCAAGACGGUGUCUGCUGCAGCCUUGGAGCACGCAUUUUUAAAGAGCUGCUUAGAAGUCUUGGUGUUCUCUGAGGCAGGGAAGUCUUUGUCUGGCAGGGCCCUGCCUUGAAUACCCUGAGCCCAUGCGGUGUGACAGCGAGGCAAGUAGGCCUUGUGGCAGGUGGCACCUGCUCUAAAGGGCGGCGUUGAGCAGUGUAAUGCCUAGCACCAGGCCAGUUCGUGUAAAUCAGCAAAGCACCACUGAUGCUAUCCUAGCUCUGCCUGCUGAGAUCUGGGCUUGUACACCAGGUGCUGUGUAGACACAUAAUGAGAGACGGCUUCUGCACCAGAUCCUCAAAAGCAAAUCUGAUAUCAGAUGGAUGUAUCAGUGCACCUCUACGAAAGGGUCCAUCUUGUUUGGAGCGAACAGCCUUCUGCUGCAAACAGCACUGCAGGGUCGCAGAGCCAUUGAAGAGCAGGGCUGUGGUUAGGUGUCUGAUGGACUGGUGUGGCAUACUGGUCAAUGUUGUCUUAUUGCUGCCUUGUGCCCACUCUGUAUCCAUUUGCUGGGUCCUACCUUCUCCUACAACUGUAAUGAUCCUGGAGCAGGGAAUGUGUCAUUUUCUAUGUACAGCGCUUGGCAUCUGAGGCUGAAGCCUCUGAUUAAAACUGGACAGCAAAUAGAGUUUUGAUUUGUUGGCUUUUGUGAGAUGUUAAAGAAGUGCCCCUGAUUGGAUUGAAAAGGGAAAGUAUCAAAUUGUAGAUGAAUCAAAAAUGUAUUUUGUAGUGAUCAAAACCUGUUGUUUAGAAUAGAUCAAACUGGUUUGGUUUCCACCUGGAGCUUUUUUAAUUAUUGUGGUAUUUUUAAAAAUAAAAUUAGAGGAAAUUUGCA